UAUAUUAAACUGCUGAAUUUCCCAAAGGGAAAACGGGGGAACCAUUCUUGGGGUGAAUCGCUAAACGCGUAGAGCAUGUUUCAGCUCGAACCCGACAGCUAACCUCGUAGGCGUUGAAGCACGUUUAA
rnacentral:sRNA from 2 species